ACUACAUGAAGCUGGAAUCGCUAGUAAUCGCGAAUCAGAAUGUCGCGGUGAAUACGUUCCCGGGUCUUGUACACACCGCCCGUCACACCAUGGGAGUCGGAUAUGCCCGAAGCCGGUGACCUAACCGCAAGGAAGGAGCCGUCGAAGGUGGAGCCGAUGACUGGGGUGAAGUCGUAACAAGGUAUC
rnacentral:rRNA from 1 species